rnacentral:rRNA from 1 species
UAAUAGAUACCCAGGUAGUCCACGCCCUAAACGAUGCGAACUGGAUGUUGGGUACAUUACGGUACUCAGUGUCGAAGCUAACGCGUUAAGUUCGCCGCCUGGGGAGUACGGUCGCAAGACUGAAACUCAAAGGAAUUGACGGGGGCCCGCACAAGCGGUGGAGUAUGUGGUUUAAUUCGAUGCAACGCGAAGAACCUUACCUGGCCUUGACAUCUGUCGAAUCCUGCAGAGAUGCGGGAGUGCCGCAAGGAACGACAAGACAGGUGCUGCAUGGCUGUCGUCAGCUCGUGUCGUGAGAUGUUGGGUUAAGUCCCGCAACGAGCGCAACCCUUGUCCCUAGUUGCCAGCACGUAAUGGUGGGAACUCUAGGGAGACUGCCGGUGACAAACCGGAGGAAGGUGGGGAUGACGUCAAGUCCUCAUGGCCCUUGCGGCCAGGGCUACACACGUACCACAAUGGUCGGUACAGAGGGUUGCGAAGCCGCGAGGUGGAGCCAAUCCCAGAAAACCGAUCCCAGUCCGGA